AAAAAGGUGGCCUCUAUACAAAGCUAUCGCCGAAGGAGGGGUUUUGCGUCUGAUUAGCUGGUUGGAGGGGUAACGGCCCAACAAGGCGAUGAUCAGUAGCCGGUCUGAGAGGAUGAACGGCCACAUUGGGACUGAGACACGGCCCAGACUCCUACGGGAGGCAGCAGUGGGGAAUCUUCCGCAAUGGACGAAAGUCUGACGGAGCAACGCCGCGUGAGUGAAGAAGGUCUUCGGAUUGUAAAGCUCUGUUAUACGGGACGAAAAAGACGGAUGCCAACAGUAUCCGUCCGUGACGGUACCGUAAGAGAAAGCCACGGCUAACUACGUGCCAGCAGCCGCGGUAAAU
rnacentral:rRNA from 1 species